rnacentral:rRNA from 1 species
AUUGAACGCUGGCGGCAGGCUUAACACAUGCAAGUCGAGCGGGGGAAGGUAGCUUGCUACCGGACCUAGCGGCGGACGGGUGAGUAAUGCUUAGGAAUCUGCCUAUUAGUGGGGGACAACAUCUCGAAAGGGAUGCUAAUACCGCAUACGUCCUACGGGAGAAAGCAGGGGAUCUUCGGACCUUGCGCUAAUAGAUGAGCCUAAGUCGGAUUAGCUAGUUGGUGGGGUAAAGGCCUACUAAGGCGACGAUCUGUAGCGGGUCUGAGAGGAUGAUCCGCCGCACUGGGACUGAGACACGGCCCAGACGCCUACGGGAGGCAGCAGUGGGGAAUAUUGGACAAUGGGGGGAACCCUGAUCCAGCCAUGCCGCGUGUGUGAAGAAGGCCUUAUGGUUGUAAAGCACUUUAAGCGAGGAGGAGGCUACUCUAGUUAAUACCUAGGGAUAGUGGACGUUACUCGCAGAAUAAGCACCGGCUAACUCUGUGCCAGCCGCCGCGGUAA